CAGCGUUUAGACACAGGCAGGAAACCAUAAUCCAGCGCUUCAUCAGAGGCUGUACUGAUGAUGUUACCCUGCACGGGAAUGAAAUGUCUGUGGAACAAUGAAACAGCUCGGUCCUUGAACACAUUGGCGUCACCCAGUUCCAGACCCAUCUUUCUCUAAUGGAAACCCUGCAGUUCAUGUGCUGCCCAAUCCUCAGGGCUGUUGGAUAGCAGGAAAUUACCUGAUGGGUUUUGCAAGGUGGACACAGUGCUGGCAGAGUGGUUGGGGUGGUAAUGACUUGUUUUAAAUACCUUUUUUGGAAAAGGAGAGGGGCUUCUGGUAAUACAGUGAUUGGAGACGACAGAUAAAUGGUGAAAGAUUUGAGGCGGCUGAUGUUAACAUGGAAAGCUUCAAUACAAAAAUCACUAAGGCAACAUGUGUAGCCUUUUAUGAAUACUAACAGUGAUGCUUUUAGCUUCAAUAGCUAGAACAUAAAAGUGUGGCCCUAAGGAUAUAAAACAGAAUGAAUAUCAUCUGAGCUGUUGCUGAGUAGCAUCUUCCCAUUCUGCAACGCUGUGCUGAGCACUAAAUGAAGACUGAAACUCGAAUGCACCAGUUACUGCACUGCUCUGUUGGAAGUGCUGCCUAUUUGAGCUCAUUCCCAUCAUCAAUUUCCAGUGGAUGUAAGACAGGAGCAAUUAGGAGUCAGCAACAAAUGCUGGCCUUGCCAACAAUGCUCAUAUCUGACAAAAAGAACAAGGAAAACAGUGAAAAAUUCCAUUGCAAUAUUUUGAAGAGGAGAAGUGCCCUAGCCAUCCUCCCUCAAUCAACAUCACAAAACAGAUGGUCUGUCACAAGAAUGUUAUGAGUGUGCAAAAGGAUUUAUGGCAAUUCCUACAUUACAAGGGUGACUGCUCAUCAAAAAUAUAGUACUUGAUUGUUAUGGAAUGAGUUGCCAAAGGAAGUUGUGUGGAGGCUGGUACAAUUACAACAUUUAAAAAGCAUUUGGAUGGGUAUAUGAAUAGAAAGGUUUUAGUGGGAUAUGUGCCAACUACUGGCAAAUGGGUUUAAAUUAAUUUAGGAUGGCUGGUCAGCAUGGACGAAUUGGACCGAAGGGUCUGUUUGUUUCCCUGCUCUACAGCUCAAUGCUUCUAAAUGUUUUGGGAUUAAAGACAUCAUAUAAAUGCAAACCUUUAUGUAUAACUUUAAGUAUCCAUUGCAUUACAGAUUGGUGCAAUGAGAUUGAAUUUUCUCAGAACUUUUUCCUCUGUUUCCACAACUUUCCUGGACACAGUACAAUAAUGGAGCAGAGGAGGAUCUAAGGAAAAUAAUCUAGUCCGCAACAGAAUGUGCAUUCCAGUUAAUGGAAGAGUGAUGAUUCAUCAAGAUCCUUGUGAAAGGUCAAGCUGAUCCUCACUCUCACAUUCCUAACAUCAUUACUAUUAAAAAAAAAAUGAGCAUUCACAGAUGUUUUAAUUUCUCUUUAUAGUACAGUUCGUGCUUGAGUGAAUAUUAAGGGCCGUUAAUGUGAGAUACUGUGUUUAGGAAAGAAGAAGGUCAUGCCAGGAGCUGUGCUGUAUUAUGAAACUUCCUGGCCACUCACCCCACACACCUGCUCCCCCCUACCAAUCCACUUACCUCUUUCUCCCAGAUUAAACAUCUUGAAAGCUCACUUGAAUUACUUUGUGCACUGACCCAUAAAAAUAAACUGAUUCUGCAUGAAAAUGCUAUGAAUAAUAUUUUGACAUGAGCUGAAUUUCCCAGUGAGGAAACAGUCAGGUCGUCCUUUCCCCAAAUUCUACUGUGUAACUUGUGCUGGAAAGAUGUUACGGAUGAAUAGCCUGGGGACUAACACGCUGGUACGAAGUUCCCUGAUAACUUUGGUGAUCCCUGGUGAAACUUCUUCAAAUUAACACUUAACCAAGUGACAACAUGACCGCUGGGGAGUGUGAUGACCCACUGGUCUGUUGCUUUGUUUCUUUCCCAGUAAACAAACGAAGACACGGGGAGAAUGUGCAAACUCCACACAGACAACCACCCGAGGCUAGAAUCGAACCUGGGUCAUUGGUGACGUGAGGCAGCAGCGCUAACCACUGAGCCACCAGUUCUCCAGUCACUCACUUCAAAAAUCCUAUCAAAGGCAAUCAUUGUUUGUGAUGGAUGAGUGUAUUGCUGAGUCACACAGAUGACAAUUCUCACAUAUUAAUCAUUGAUGAAUGAGUUGAUCUUGCCCAAGCAAUAGGAGUUCACUUUAAUGAUCCUGAGAUCAAGUGAAAAAGUUAGCCAGGAUUUCUGUUUCUGAUCUUUAUCACAUGCCUUUAGCUAGAAAUAAACAAGUGAAAGCAUCACAUGAGGCUAGAAUCAAGACAAUGUGUUGGCACAUAGUGAAUUAGAUUUUUUAUUUAUUCACAAGAUGUGGGUGUUGCUAGCUCACCAAUGUUUAUUACCAUCUCUAAUUGCUCAGAAAGCAGUUAAGAGACAAUGACAUUGCUGUGGGUCUGGAGUUACAUGUAGACCAGACCCGGGAAAGAUGACAGUUUCCUUCCUUAAGGAACCAGGUGGGAUUUUCCCAGCAAUCUACAUGGUCAUACAAAUGUUAUUGAAUUCAAAUUCCACCACCUGCAGGAUUCGAACCUGGAUCUCCAGAAUAGUACCUGGGCCUCUAGGUUAAUACUCUCAAGAUAAUACCACUCUGCCAAUACCUUCCCCUACGGUCACUUCAACAGGUUCAAACCCAAGAUGCACAUUCUUGUCAGGUUACAGAAAAAAAUUUCAUAGGACAGAGGGAGGUGAUUUCACUUCUCUUGCCUAUGCUAGAUUUUUGGAGAUUUGUCACAAUGAACCCAGCUUGCUUCUUAUUCA